CACUUCUCCUUCCUGCCACCAUGUGAAGAAGGACAUGUUUGCUUCCCUUCAGCCAGGAUUGCAAGCUUCCUGAGGCCUCCACAGCCCUGCGGAACUAAUCCCUGGUGGACUCUCGCAUUUGGUGGCAUUACCUGAUUAUCUGUGUGCCCACCAUGUAGCUCCUGGGCUCUCUGCCCACGGCUUGUUCUACAUCAGAAAGAGAAACUGCAAUGACCCCCUCCCUGCCCUCCGGAGCCUCCUUCACCAUCGAGGUGGCUUGGAAAACCCAGACGUAAAAGCUUUAAGGCAGAAGGGGGAAAGCACUGCGGUAAUAAGGAUGAAACUGCCCCCAGCAGGUGCUGGCAAAGUCAGCUCUCGGGGCCUUGUUCUUCCCGUUUGAUCACUGCUUCUCAGCCCUCUCCUCCUCCCACCUCUGCACCCACCCUGCCUCUCUCUCCUCUCUAUGGUCUUUGUUUUCCUCCCUCCCCUUCCCCAACACACAUCCAUGCAUGUUCACACACAUAGAUAAAGGUCUUGCCUUUCAAGGCAUUUAAAAUAAAGUUGGAAGAAAUAUA